GAGUCCUCUGCCAUUUGAAAUGGCCGAAACAGAGAGCUUGCAAGAGAGAGCUUGUGAGAGAGAUUGAGAGAGUGAGCGAGAUCAAGAUCGGGGGAAAGGGCCGAUGGUGAACGGUCGAUCGGCCAUAGCAACCGCAGCCGCAAGCGUUGCAGCGGCAAUGGCAGCUCGCAGGUAAGGCUGACUGGUGCUCUACGCGCGGAAGAGGGCUGGCGAGGCAGCCUCGGGGUUGAAGCGACCAAUGGUGGUUGCGGUGGCAAUCGGCGUUGGGCGUAGCCGAAAAUGAUGGAGGCUGCAAUGAAGGUCAGCCAUGGCAGCAGUGGCCGCGACUGGGAGGCUGUGUGCGAGGGACCUGCUGGCUGUGGCUGGCUGUGAGGGAGGCGAUCGAAAAUGGCCAACAGCGAUGGCGUCUGAUGCGGCGGAAGGCAGAAGCGGCCAAAGCUGGCCGAGCAGAGGCCGAUAGUGGCCGAGGGCAACCGCAGCGCGGCGGCCUGAUGCAGCGGAGCAACAGCGGACGGCCAUGGCAAUCGAGGCUGAGGGUGCUGGUGGAGGCGGCAGAGGCCGCGAGUGGUGGUCGGUGAGGCCAGCGGCGGCAGUGGCAGCCGCGCAAGCGCGCUGUGCUUGCCGUGAAGGAAGAAGAGGAUUUGAAGAAGAAUAAGUCUGGGUAGGAGAUGAUGAACAGUGGGAGGAGAAGGAAAAUAAAAAAAAAAAGAAAAUAAAAAUAAUGGAAAUUCUGGAAAAUAAGGGGAAAAUGGAGAAAAAUCCCGAAAAAUUUCAGAAAAAUAGGGGAAAGUUCUGGAAUUUAAAUUGGGGUUGGAGGAGCAUGUCAGGAGCUUGGAAGUGAGAUUUUUGGGUGCAAAUGGUAGCUCGGGAGGCAACGUCGGUGUGGGCGUUUCUAAAUUUCUCUCCAAAUGAGUCAAGGUUCGACCGGGAAGGCAAUUGUCCUAGAGGAACUUGAGAUUCAGGCUAGAAUUCGUGCCGAGGCAGAGUUGAGGCUUUGAGCCAGAUGAUGCAAGUCUGGAUGCAAGUAGGGAUGGCGCCGGGAGGCCGUUGUGGCAACUAGCUGAGUUGCCCGAGUUAUGUAUUUUUAAUAUUGCUUGUAUGUAGCUAGGGGGCGUGGUGUAUGUAUACCCUUGUGAGCAAAUGUCUGUGUUAUUGAGCUUAAAUGUAUUUAAUUGUUGUAAUCAUCAUAGUGUGAUUGAUGAUUGUGAGAUUGCUUGUUGAAUGUGGCAUAGUCGGUAAAGCCAAGUUUCGGACCGAGUCAGGAUCAGCAAGGUAUGUUCUCAUAAAUCCUCAAUACUCAGCGAAGUGUCUGUAUGCUAGCUUUGUGCCUGGGUCACCUCUAGCUUGCUAUGGAGUGAGUUGAAGAGAGGUGAAGCUCACUCGGGUUUCGGGUCUUGGUCCGCUGGAUUUUUCUUAUUUGAGUUGGGACCGAUUCCUGAGUGGAGCGAAGGGAAGGACGAAGCCUAGUUCCCGCCUAGGACGUUUCCUGUUGAAACAUAGUCCAACCCUUUAGUUGUGGUCGUCGGGUGAGUAAUCUGGUCGAUUAUUUACCGGUGGCGCCCGUAAGUGGGAGCGGGUCGUUACAGUUGGUAUCAGAGCAUGGCUAGCUGUAUGAGUGGGGAAGGCUAGCGUGCUUAAGUGUUAAGUAUGGUCGGUUAUGUGAUUAAUGUGAGUAAUUGCCAGAGUUUUGGAAUAGAGGAUGUCUGGCAUGAUUUGAAUGUAAGUCGAAAUGUCUUAACUGCUGAGUUGGGGGUCAAGAACAAUUGAUUUGAAAUUUUGAGAUUUCAAUGUAAGGUUGGUCCGAUAACCUUGAAAGUUGGACAUGUGGACCGAGGACCCUAAGGGAUUGGAUCAAGUCAUUAAGGCUUGAAAUGGUAUGUUUGGAUAUUCCUGUUCUUGGGAUGAGAAAAUACCCUCGAUUGAGAUGAUAUACCUGUGAGAGGUAUACGGGUUGAGCAAUGAGGAACCGAAAACCCGAGUGUGGGUGUUGGUAUCAAGAAAACUCGAAUGUGGCAUUUCGGGGAUAUGAAGUGUUUUAAGGAUGGGAACUCAUUGAGAUUGAAGUGUUGAGGCUCGUGUGGGGACACGAAGCCGAGGCUUGACUAGUCCGGGAGGGAAUUAGUGGAGCGUCCCUAUGUCAGGGAUUUACCGAGCAUGUUCGAGGGAAUAGAGUUAUCCCUUGGAAAUGGUGUAAUAAGGCUUGUGCGCUUGAGAUAGAGUGAACUAAAUAGAAGUUAGCUCGGGACUCAAGGAGAUGAGACGUCAGUGAGGCUUUAUGGGGAGUGUGCCUAUAAGGCAUCUGUAUGUCAUGGCCAAUGACGACAUGAAGUAAGUAGCAUCCGGAAGGACUCUGAGGGGAGUCAGGAUGCUAGAUGUAUGUGAUGCGAUGUGAUCGUAUUGUUAUGAUGAUCCUGGAGGGGACUUGACUAGGGUAUGAGUGGACCCUAUUUGGUUUCGUGAUGAGACGAAGUCUACCCUUGGGAAUGAUAGGCGUGUGGCAAGUGGACCCUAACGGGUGUUUGUAUGAGAUGGAAAUCCCAACUGAGUCGAGCUGAAAUCUAGGGGAAUCCAGAUUUGGGAUUAAGGAGUUGGGCAUGCAUUGAUAUGCGUGUGAGAGCCUUUGGGUUAAAAGUCCUAGUUGUGAAAGGCCAAAAGACCGUUCAUGUGAUUAAUGGAUGAGGGGCCAAUCAAAACUCUCAUUAUGACGCUUGGGGUCUGGUAGGACGCCUAAGGUCGGGAGAUGAGAGGUGAAUAGACCCUCAUUGUGAUACCUGGGGUUGCGAUGACGCCUAAGGUCACGAGACCCUUGAUGGGAGACGCGGAGGUCACCCAAUGAAGGGUAUGAACGGGUGUGUGUGGUCCGAGAGCGAUGAGUGUGUGGCAACAGGACAUCCAUAGGCAAUGCGCGCAAUGGAAAUGCCAACUUCGGAUGCCAAGUCGGCAGGGGCAGGGUGAACAAUGUCGAGGCCCCGAGUUUUAAAUUCCAAGUUAUGGAAGCCUGUGCAAGGCGUGCUAGAAGGCCAGGUCGGGCGUCGUGACUAAACGCACUAUGGGUGUGCAAGAAGAGACGGGAGGUCUCGAUUUACCGGGAGGGUAAUGGUAGGUGCUCGAUGGUUAUGGGUACCUAAGCUUAAGAUAGGCUCAGCAUGUUGGUUGUGGUUUGAGAGUCUCUUAAGCGGUAAGAGAUGCAGAGUCUUGAGAAGCGAGGCUCAUGAUAUGAGCUUGAGGUUAUCAAGGCAAGGAUAACCAAGUAAGAUGGCUUUGGUAAGAUUGUGGUGGAACCAUCGUAGUUCGGGAAGGCUUUCAGUAGCUUUGAUGCUACGGGUGCAAGGCUCGAUGUGACGGAUCUGAUGCUAUGGACCGUGUGGCAAAGGACUAAUGAGUUGGCUCACGUUGAGGGCAAGUGGCCCAUGAGCCUGAGCAAUUUAGUGAACUGCAGGUGACGAUCAGAUGCCGAAAACCUAGAGCAGCACCUUAAGAGAGUUAGCCAGGUGAGAUCGAUAGUCUCCUGCAAGGGACAGGACAUCUAGGGUAGUCCUAGGGAGAAAUCGUGGAACGUGAAAACGUUCUGAUGGAUUAGUAGUCGAGUAGGAAGCUUGGUAGGGCGAAGCUACGAGUGCGAAGCAAAUCAGUGAUGGGCCUGAGCAUGCUGUUGGAAACUGUUGUUGGGCCAGUGUAUGGGAGCAACACGGUAAUGAUGACCAGGUGUUGGCUCACCUAAAGCACAUGGCAACACAGUGAUUAUGCCGAUGGUCAGGGGCUAAAGAUUUGUGAAAUGCGGUAGGGUGACGAAAGUUGUGGCCAGUUCCACAACUCAACUGCUAGUAAUAAGAGUUGUAAGGGUGUUGCACCCAAGUGUGGUUUAAGCCCUUUAUCUCGUUAAAGUAGUGUCAAGGCCAUUUAGCGAAUGUUUGGGUGUUGUAGCGCUUUGAGAUGUUUGAGAAAGAAACUCGUGGAAAAUGAAUGGGUCUAGCGUAGGAAUAACGCUACAGUUGAUGCCUACGGUUGACGGGUCUAAUGCUAAGGACCACUGAAUAUAGACAGUUAGUUCACAGGAGGGACUGCAGCCCUCUAUGUGGAGUAACCUGUCUGCGGUGGAGACGAUUAGAUGCCGAAGACUUGGGGUAUGCUGUAGGUUAUGUCUGGGCCAGACCUAAAAUUCCGUAAGGGUUGAAAAAAUCAUGGUAGUGCCUUUGUUGUCUAGGCAGCAAGAAGGUUUGUGAGUCGAGUGGAUGAUACCUUGUGAUGUGAAAACAAGACGUGUGGCGAUGCUCCUUAUUAAAGGAUGCUAUCGCAGUUGUGGUUGAAUUUGAUCGAAUAAAUUGAGAUGAUGGAUCCUGUGUGACCUUGCGGUGAUGCAAGAAGAUGGGUUAAUUGGUGGAGUCGGUAAAUGACUCCAAGAUGUUACGUAAGUGCCGUGAAGGGCGAGACUUACAAGUUAGAAGCCAACCAUGAAAUCUGAAUGUUGAAGCGUGCAAAAGUUUCAAGUAUGGGGAUCUCUAAUCCUGUGAUGUGAGUUGUGGCAGGCUGAACGUGUGGCUGAGGCACGAUUUGAAAUUUGUGAAGGCUUGCAAUUGCACGGUCUAGUAUUAGUCCUGAUGUGUCGAUGCGAAAAUGAGGAAGUACCUUCAUGUGGCACUGGAUAGGUUUCCAGUUGUUGACACAAGAUUAGUUGCCAGGUGGUAGCACCUGAUGGCAAUGGUGAGAGCGUGAGGCUCGAGGACUGUGAUGUAAAGCCUUGUUGAUUAACCGUGUACAUAAAAGUUCAGCGGGUCCUGGUGGUUAGACCAGGUGAAUUUUAAGAAAGAGAUCCAAGGUGAUAAAAAAUGGUUGGUCAUGGUAGAAUUGUGCUUGAAGGAGUGUUACUCCGUAGCGGGAGUUAAAGAUGGUAGUGCUGAGAUGUGGCCUAGAAAGAACUUGGGAUGUUCUCCCAAGAAAGGUUGGGUAUGGGGCCACAAUACUAAAUGGACCUCCUAAGGCACUACCACUCUAACAGGAUGCAUCACCCGGGGAAAGCCAGCGUGAUGGCAAGUGCCUGAGUAGGAAUGUGAGUCCUACGGCAUCUAGUGGAAGUGUGAGUUCCACAAGAGUAGCAGGGGUGAUUUCCAGUGGGUGGAGUUAAAUCAAAAAUCAUAGUCGAUGAUUGCAAGAGUAGUGCCUGGAGAAAAGUUGUGUUGGUUAUGAGUCGGGCGAUCCGGUUAAAGCUAAUUGAGUUGAUUAGAUGGAAGGUGAAGGAGAAUUUAAAAUGUCACCAAUGGGUGGCUAGAGCUCAAAGGAAGAGCUUGUGGGACGAGAUUGGAUCCCAAGAAUGAUGUUUAGGUGAUGAAAUCACCUAAUAGCUGUGAGUGAUGCAGCUAGAGGGAUGUCUUGGAGUGUGGGCAAUUGAUGAGAUUUAACCUCGUGGCUAAAGGUUAACGAUGGUGAAAGGAAAUCAACUAGUGGAGUCGAUUGGUGAUAGGCCAGAAAUAACCAACGUCGACCGAAGUCGUCGACCGGUGAUAGCGGCAGCAGCAGUGCAGCGGCUGGCCAGGGUCGUGGGGCGUCGUGAGAGUAGUCAGUUACUAACGUAGGUGGCUCCUAAGUCGCGGUUGCGAUUGGAUGUGGCGCUAAGCGAUGGCAAGAGGUCGUCUUAGCUGAUGAUGAAGGCAUUAGAGCCAAUGUGGUCGCUCACUGAGGUGUGAGCUGAUUGAAGCAAAAGUUAUAAGAAGUCCGGGAGAAGCCAGAGUCUCUCAGGGUAUUGGCUAGCUGCUAUAAGCAUAACAAAGUGACUUGAGGAAGGCAGCCUAAGAGUGGGGUCGUGCUGGUUGCGAUGACCAGUAAGAUUUAAGGAGCAGCGAGUCUUUUGAGAUGGCAUGGUGGUGUCAUCGUUACUGUCAGGGAAAAGAUGUUGUCAGGAAGGUUAAAGGUAACCAUUAUGCAUGGUUUAAAUCAGGUGUUUAUCGCAAAUUGAGAAUGAACCUGAUUUUGGGAUUGCCAAAAAGUUUCGUGCCUCAAGAGUAAAAGGCUUUGUCGAGGAAUAGGGAGAUUUGAAAGGUCCCAAUGAAAUUGAAGCUGGGCGAGUAAAUUUGGCUAGAAGACCGUUAUAAGAGUGGGGGUGUAACCAUGUUAGCUUGUUGUGGUGCGGACCAAAGGCACAAGUCAUCUUACAGGUGCGAUGCAAUAAGGGGUUGUGCAGAUGGUAAUAAGCCAAUCACUUGUGCCACGCACCGUGGGUGAUGACGAUGGUCGAUUAAUGGUUCUGCGACCUUAAGCGAAAUGGUAGGAUCCUUGACUCGCGGUAGGGUUUAAUAGCCAAUGUAAGGCCUAGCAUGGGGCAUGAUUGUGAAAGCUGAAUCGGGUGAAAAAUUGAAGAGGGGUUGCUCAGUGAAGAGUUCACUUGUAUGGGUAAGAGACCCCUACUAGCGCGUGAUAUCGGGGGAGAGGGCCGAUGGUGAGCGGUCGAUCGGCCAUAGCAACCACAGCCGCAAGCGUUGCAGCGGCAAUGGCAGCUCGUAGGUAAGGCUGGCUGGGGCUCUACGCGCGGAAGAGGGCUGGCGAAGCAGCCUCGGGGUUGAAGCGACCAAUGGUGGCUGCGGUGGCAAUGGACGUUAGGCGUAGCCAGAAAUGAUGGAGGCUGCAACGAAGGUCAGCCAUGGCAGCAGUGGCCGCGACUGGGAGGCUGUGCGCGAGGGACCUGCUGGCUGUGGCCGGCUGUGAGGGAGGCGAUUGGAAAUGGCCAGCAGCGGUGGCGUCUGAUGCGGCGGAAGGCAGAAGAGGCCAAAGCUGGCUGAGCAGAGGCCGAUAGUGGUCGAGGGCAGCCGCAGCGCGGCGGCCUGAUGCAGUAGAGCAACAGCGGGCGGCCAUCGCAGUCGAGGCUGAGGGUGCUGGUGGAGGCGGCAAUGGCAGCCGCGCAAGCGCGCUGUGCUCGCCGUGAAGGAAGAAAAGGAUUUGAGGAAGAAGAAACGUGGGUAGGAGAUGAUGAACAGUGGGAGGAGAAGGAAAAUAAAAAAAAAUAAAAAUAAAAAUAAUGGAAAUUCUGGAAAAUAAGGGGAAAAUGGAGAAAAAUCCCGAAAAAUUUCAGAAAAAUAGGGGAAAGUUCUGGAAUUUAAAUUGGGGUUGGAGGAGCGUGUCGGGAGCUUGGAAGUGAGAUUUUUGGGCGCAAAUAGCAGCUCGGGAGGCAACGUCGGUGUGGGCGUUUCUGAAUUUCUCUCCAAAUGAGUCAAGGUAAAUUAAUAUUUUCUUCCUCAGUUAUUUGCGUUAAGUGAGUUAAUGUAAAAUAGUUAUUUGUUGGAUUAAAACCAAUGUCGGGGUUGUUUGAAAAAUUGUUGAUGGAUGGUUUUGAUGGUGUGUGUGGUGAAGUUGAGGGCAUUGGUUAAAUGCCGGAUGUUAAUAGAGUUGGGUUUGUGUGUAUUUGUAUCUAGGUUCGACCGAGAAGGCAAUGAUCCUAGAGGAACUUGAGAUUCAGGCUGGAAUUCGUGUCGAAGCAGAGUUGAGGCUUCGAGCUAGAUAAUGCAAGUCCGGAUGCAAGCAGGGAUGGCGCCGGGAGGCCGUUGUGGCAACUAGCUGAGUUGCCCGAGUUAUGUAUUUUUAAUAUUGCUUGUAUGUAGCCAGGAGGCGUGGUGUAUGUAUACCCUUGUGAGCAAAUGUCUGUGUUAUUGAGCUUAAAUGUAUUUAAUUGUUGUAAUCAUCAUAGUGUGAUUGAUGAUUGUGAGAUUGCUUGUUGAAUGUGGCAUAGUUGGUAAAGCCAAGUUUCGGACCGAGUCAGGAUCAGCAAGGUAUGUUCUCAUAAAUCCUCAAUACUCAGCGAAGUGUCUAUAUGCUAGCUUUGUGCUUGGGUCACCUCUAGCUUGCUAUGGGGUGAGCUGAAGAGAGGUGAAGCUCACUCGGGUUUCGGGUCUUGGUCCGCUGGAUUUUUCUUAUUUGAGUUGGGACCGAUUCCUGAGUGGAGCGAAGGGAAGGACGAAGCCUAGUUCCCACCUAGGGCGUUUCCUGUUGAAACAUAGUCCAACCCUUCAGUUGUGGUCGUCAGGUGAGUAAUCCGGUCGAUUAUUUACCGGUGGCGCCCGUAAGUGGGAGCGGGUCGUUACACCCGCUAGCAUCCAUUGCUGUUCUUUUCAGGUCUGCCAUUUUUCCCUCUUAGCCUUAUUUUUGAAAUCUUCCAAUCUAGAUCUUAAAUUAGAUUUAAUUUGAACCGAUCCACUUAGAUCCAUCACAUCCAUUUAGAUCUGACCCAUUAGAUUUGUCCCCAAAUUUGAUUAGAUCUAGUUAAUACCCCAAAUCCAUGUCAGGACCCAGGUUUCCAUGUGGUGCUUGCAAAAUCCUAAGGAGGAGAUGCACCCCAUUGUGUGUUUUUGCCCCUUAUUUUGGCCAUGAGGAUGCAACAUUUCAUUUUUCUGCCAUUCAUCAAGUCUUUAGUGCGAGUAAUGCUUCCAAAAUUCUGACCCAACUUCCGAUAGGUGACCGAUUUGGGGCAGCCAUUUCACUCAUUAUGGAAGCUCUAGCUCGGCUUCAAGAUCCUGUUUUCAGCUGUGUAUCCCAUAUUUUUUUCCUCGAACAACAGGUUGUUGAUCUCCAGCAAUAGGUUAUCGACUUGGAUGCCUAUGUAUCUUUAUUGUAUAAUUUUUUAUUUGCAAACAAUUCUGCGUAUCUUCAAUUGGUUCCAAAUUGGUCUCAACCAUAACCUCAUCCAAACCCUAUUCCUGCACCUAAUCCAAGCUUUGCUGACAUUUCUGGACCUAUUUCGCAUGGAUCACUACCCGUUGAUGAUCCAAAUUCAUUCGGAAGCUCUGGUUAUCCCAUUAUCUCAGAGGAUAUCUCACUUCCUAGCUUCCCAGAGACUUUUCCUCUAUUCCAUCCUGGCGAGACUAGCGGUAGCCAGUGGCCUGAAUAUCCCAACAUACCUGAACAUGCCACACUCCCUAGUUUUCUAGAGACUCUACCUUACCCUGGCGAGACUAACAGUAGCCCGUGGUUUGAAUAUCCCAACAUACCUGAUCAUGCCAUAUUCCCUAGUUUACCAGAGACUCUACCUUACCCUUGCGAGACUAGCGGUAGCCAAUGGUCUGCAUAUCCCAACAUACCCGAUCAUGCCACACUCCUUAGUUUACCAGAGACUUUACUUUACCCUGGCGAGACUAGCGGUAGCCAGUGGUCUGAAUAUCCCAACAUACCUAAUCAUGCCAUACUCCCUAGUUUACUAGAGACUCUAUCUUACCCUGACGAGACUAGCAGUAGCCAGUGGACUCUUUUAUGACGACGUCAAUGAGCUUGGACCCGAUAUUUUCGGGAGUCAUCAUCAGUAUUGAGUAUUGGCGACAUUUUGGGGUUUAACUCCCCCCCCCCCUUUUUUUUAAUUGUAUGGCUUGAUCUCUUAUAAUUAUAUUGAACAUAUGUAAUGAAUGUUAUAUUUGUGGGUACUCUAAUGUCUCAUUCAUAUAUCUUUAUCCUUAAUCGUGUAUCAAUCAUAAUUAUUUCAGCCUCUUAUAGUUGUUUAAUAAUUCAUCAAAUAUCGGCUCUUAAUUAUUACCUCUUUCAAAACUUGAUAAUUUUACGUCCUCAGUCAAGCCACACAUAGCUAGUCAUCAGAUAACCUUAAGUUAUUAAUGGCAAUUCCAAACCUAUUAUUUAAGAAUUAGGUCCAAUAAAUCUUCCGAGAGCACAUUCUGGUAUUUCUCUUACUCACUUUCUAACCUCUGCCAUUACUUGUCUCUCUCAAGCAUGCCAAAGGUUCUCACAGCUAUCGAGACAACUCUAUAUAGUCACACUACCAACUUGAGCAGGUAGGUACUUACGUCACCUACUGUACCCCAAUCCUCACUGAAUUUUUCUUCCUAAAACUCUAAAGUUUCAUAGGACUCUUUAGAUUCUCUAUGGUCCUUAAAACAUCAUUUAUUUAAAAAACAAAAUCCUCGAAAAUCCCAAACCGAUUUAUCUUUGAAGAUCCCAAAUCAAAUCACGUUAACUGGCUCCAAUCAUUUUCUAUAAACAACUGGACCUCAAAACUUCCAAGGAUUCUUUUUCAAAUGAUACUUUAAACCUCAAAUAACGAUUCAGUUUUUCCAUGCGUUUGCACAAGGCAUAAUUUAUUCGUGUGUCCUUUCUCACCAAUUUUUUUGAAUCCCCAAACUCACUUGGCACACUAAAUCAUAGGUACAAAUUUCGUCACCUAGGUCUAUCAUCAAUGCUGGUAAUCACGUCACCACAUAGGUAACGCCUAUACAUCAAGUUUACCAUGUCUAUUUCACACUUCGAAAAGCUCUUACUAUGCAACCCAACCAUAUCCUCAUGGCAAUUACAAACACGACCCGAUCCUAGACAUCGAGAUUAAUCUAUUUCUUGAGCCUCAUAAUGCUCGUCUCAUUUACCAACUCACAAAAUGACCAUGAACCUAGAUGUUAUAGGACACACCGUCCUAUUCAAGACGUCACACUCUUCUUUCUCUUUAGAUCAUGUCUUCACAAAUACUAUCCAUCUUAUUUUGGGUCGAUUUCCUAGGCUUCUAGCAUUUUUCUACCAGCUAGUGGCACACCUCGCACUCCAGUUCAUUGAAACUUGGACCCCAUCAUCUUAGUCAAUGUUAUUUUCCUAUUCUUAGAAGUAUCUAAGUCUGGCAUCAUAUCUAUUUUCUUUGACCCAAAUCCUAGGGUUCUUGAUCUACACAUAUUAUUUUCGAUACUCUAAAUGAUUCUCGAAAAUUCUUAUCAUUCGAUCCUAACUCAACAGCUAGGUUAUGUCACAUCAAACUGAUCAUCCAUGAUUCAAUCAUUCUUGAUAACUACUAGUUAUUGCAAUGAUUUCAACUAAUGACCUCAAAUCAGCAGUCUCUAAAUCUCUCAUAAUCAUGGUUAUCGAGUCAACCUUACACCCGAAACUCAUUAUCGGUCCCUAACUUCAAUAGCUAGAUUAUUUCGCUUGCCUCAGCUUCCAUUAGACUUUCACUAUUUACCGAGAAUAGUGGUUGUAUACUGGAAUUGUGUCUAUUCAUGAAUAGUACACUAGGUAAGUUCCCAGGAAAGAGAGGUGGGUCACAAACAGACACACUUAAAUACCAAGUCUUUCCUUAGCCAGAACUUUCCUAGACAUGCACUUCUACUACACCACACUUAAAUCUAGUAACUUUUGAGACUUCGAUUAUCCAUCCCCGAAUCUCUAAAUAGAGAUUUCUAAAUCUAAGUUUUUCUAAACCUCAGUUUCAUGGAUUCUUGAUGAUCCUUCCUAAGUUUUCUUAUGGUUCGCUCUGAUACCAAUUGUAAUGCCUCGUCUUCCGAGCGCGUUAAAACUCAGGAUAAUUCUGGGAUAGUUUUUUUCCUUUUUUUUUAUACUACUAAAACUAAGACUAAACCAUAUCAUUACUCUUAUCCAUCCCAAAAUUUUCAUUCAUUUAUCUCCAAGAAGAAUCAUCAUAAACAUUAAAUGCAGAAGCUAGAAUUGAACCUAAUAUCAUAACAUUAAUCAUAAAUCAACUCUUACAUCACGGGAACAUAAAUUUCUCAACAUGACUUAAUACAUAACAUAAGUUCUCAACUAACAUUAACCCUAAAUAGGGUUUUACAUCAUCAUUUCUCAAACGUUCAGAAUUUGAAGUAACAGAACAUAAAUACAUGAGCUACAUAACAUAAAUUCAACUGAUCAUACAACUCAUCAUGCACUUUGCUAAGUGCCAUUACAUGCCUUAUUUGUCCUCGUUUCUGCUACAAUCUUCAUCUGGAACGUCCAGGGGCAAAGCCCAAGUUAGAUGAUGAAUCAUCUAAGUAAUGGAAACAAAACAUUUAAUGCUCAUGUAUGUAUGCAAUGCACAUAACAUCAUAACUCUCAUAUUUGGGUCGACUGCACCUUAAGAUUACCCGUCAUUUUUCCAGUCUCCCUGCCAGACCGGGGCGUAUAGGUGCACCAUUGGCAAAAUAAUAGAGCCAGUACCUAAUCUCAAACCCAUGGAACGUAUGAUCGUGAAUCUCAUCAUGCUCAUAUGCAUACUUUGUCAUCAAUACAUGUAAAUGCAAUCCACAUGACAUGUUUACAUCAAGGCAUGACAACAUGAUGAAAAUAUUUACAUAAAAUUAGGUUUUGGUAGAACCACUUGCAAGCCAUUUUCAUAAACUAAAUCCAGUUGAAUAGUACCACUUACCUUAUAAAAAGAUCAUUUUGCCCCUAGCGUAAUUUUGUUUCAAAAUUCGCAUCGGACUUCCAAUUGUACUCAAUUAUGAACCUUGACCUACCCUGACACCAUAAUUACUUAAGAAAAUCAGAUUUCUAAUUUUUCUCUAAAUUUUUUAAUUUCUCAAAUUUCCUCCUAUUAUUUCCUCAAGAUUAUGAAAUAAAUACUUUCUCAUAAAAUUUUCUCAAUUUCUCUUCACAAUAAUUCCUAAAACAAUAUUCCUAAGCCCCAGAAAUUUUCUCAUAAUUUUUAAAAUCCAUUUUCUAUUUAUUUCUCAUUUUAUCUUUGAUUUUCAAGCAUCUAUUGCCUCAAAAAUCCAUAAUAAAUACUAAUCAUGCAUUUUCCUUCCAAUUUCACCAUCAAAAAUUAUAAAAUAUCAUUCUAAUAUUUCUGAAAUUUUUAAAGAAAAUUUUGAAGAUAACUUACCUUCCCACGGAGUGAUUCGGUAUUCUUCUAUAUUGCGAUGAAGUCUUGAUUUGCGUAUCCAACAACAUCUUUUGCUACAAAUUUUCACACGAACUACUAAAUCCAACCUAUAGCAUUUUUCUAAAAAAUUUUUGGUAUUUUUCUCUAUAUUCUUUCUUUCUCUUUCUCAAAUCUCUCUCUUACUCUCAAAUCGUGCAUCUCCACCCACUGAUAUAGCCCCUCCUCCCCCAAGGAAGCAAGCCUCUUUUGAUAAACAUCCAAGAAGAAAUGAUUUGCGACAAACUUCCUCGGCUAGAAGGCGUGGCUCCAAAGGCUUUGGGGAUUGGUCUUUGCAUCGUCACAACCCCACAAGCUCAGUCUUGGGCCACACAUCACUUGAGGGGGUGCCGGCGCAUCGACAAUCGAAUUUGAACUUGAGGGACCAGGAACAUCGGUAGCCAGCUUAGAGCUCGAAGAGCCUGACGCAUUAGAAGCUUGAUUCAAAGGACCUGGCACAUUAAGAGCUUGAAUUGAACUCGAAUGCCCUGGUCUGUCGGUUACCCGGCAUCUCUUCCACUGUGGAGGAACCACUUGAACCUUCGGCAGGGAGGAAGUACCAGCGACAACCACAAAAAUUAGUCGAACAGGAAAAUGACCCUUCAAUCUCACAAUAGCAACCUUCCCCUUGUUUACAGUCACCUCAAAGGGCACUUCGAUGCUUUUCUCCGCCACACGCCUCUCCACUUCCUCUACCGUCAAACUCGACACCAUAUGCCCUAAAAUAGGAAGCCCCAAUAAGAACCAUGGUUAGCGAAAACUAAACAAAGACACAUAGUAGUAACGUACCCAUGUAUUCAGAUAGAGCCCGAGGAUCCGCCCUGAAUUCUACAAGCUUUGCAGACUCAAGCUGGGGAGAAAACAUAAAUGCAUCCAAACUUAGGCCCUCGUACUGCGCCUCUAUAGGAGGGCUUGGCUCCAACUGCCAACAUAAGGGAAACUUCUUUUGGCUAUACUCAUCUAAGAAAAAACUGAGCUCUUUCUCUGCCAAGGCCACCUUGAAGAAGCUAUCCUUAAAAUGCUUAAGGGAAGAGGUGAAGGCUUUCAACAGCGAUUUCCUCGUGCAUCUCGUUAGGGAAAUCCAACUAUCCCUGUCGACCCCUUUCCAGUGAUAGUGGUGGAAAAAAACCCCCGUGGUAGUUCUACAGCCAAGAAACUCGACCAACACCUCGAAACCACGUAUGAAGCCCCAACCAUUUGGAUGAAGCUGCGUCGGGGUGACAUUCAUCGCCUAUAAAAUUGAGCCCUGAAACUCAAUCAGGGGGAGCUGCAGAUAUAGUUUUGAAAAGAGUACCUCGUAGAUAUAAACAGACUCGAGGUCCGGGAUCGAGUGGUAAAUUCGCUCAUCUCUUCCACAUGAGGAGAACUUCUUCCUGAUUGCCUCCAUAGACAAGUCGAUGGUAAACUUCGACUUGAUCCAAGCAACCUUUUCAUUUACCCAGUCAUACGUGCGAAUGGAGUUUGAAGUCGAAAAAGCCAUUGAAGAACAUACUAGCACAAUUUCGCCGCAAGGGGAGGCAAGACAAACGAAUAGUUCAAAGAUAAAUCCGAGAAAUAAGCACACAAGGAAGAAACGCAUAUUAAUAGGCAUCGUGUGAGACGCCCAACGGACAAGCAACGACCAGUGCAAUUCCGCCACAUAUCUCACCGUUAACACCCUGAUGAACCUGCCCCACCUAGGGUAGUGGGUCGCUGCAUGUCCCCAGACGACGCCUCACAUUCUCGGACAAGCACCUCGAUUCCCGGGGCCCACAUGCAAUCAAGUAAGGAUGUCAGUGUAACACUCCGAAAUCCCUAGUCAGUCACAACCAGACAGGUCGGUAUGCCGCCGGGCCCAGUACCAAACUACUCAAAAGCAACUCGACAAAACAUCCGCAAGCUCGGAUUCCCCCCCCCCAGCGAGCAUCCAACCAAAAGAGCCAAGAGGUCUAGCAAUUUGAUCCUACCCCGCAGAUACUGAACCCUGGACAUAACAAGUCCAUAAAAGCAUCAGGAUCACGAAGGUCGAGUAAGACAAGCACCAGAAAAAAGACAGUAGGAAUAGAACAUUACGAAAGAAGAGAAAUAGUAGUUUAUUAUGAAAUAAAAAGUGCAAAGUUACAAGACUUAUGCACCACAUCUCUACGGAAAGCCUACGCUAUCAUACAGCCCGACUUGGAAUCAUGUCUCGACUGGACUUCCCUUCACCAGGUCCGCUAGAUAACCGUCCUUGAUACCUUGAGAGGACCAAAGGCCGAGAGAUCCAAUUCCAGAAAGACAACUCGGACGUGGGACAGAGCCACUUCAUACCCCUCCCCUUUGGCCUCGGCUACCUCAUCCUUUGAUCUCUCCACUUCGGACCGACCUGCUGCCACCUUAGCUUUCGCUUUCAUAUCUAUCUCAAUCACCUCGACCCUAGCUAAUGCCACUUUUGCUUUCAGCCUUACCAGCUGUAUGUUCGGCCUCGUCGGCCCAGCUCUUUGCCUCAGCAGUAGCUACCUCCACGGCCUUCUUAAUUUCCCCUUUUGCCAAUUCCCCGGCCUGACACAAUUCCUUUUCAUGGUCUGCCUUUAUCUUGGCAAGCCGAGUCACUAUACUCACCUUAAGCAAACGACAAUCCACAGCAAGCUAGAGCACCGACGCUCGACCUGACGGAAAGCAGUCGGUUGCUUCAGAUCCAAUAACUUUCAAUUUGACAACGGAUCAAGAUAAGCAUCGAUAAAAAGUUCACUCCAGAAUUUGGGGUCCUGAAAUGAAAUCGAGUAGCUCCCAGGACUAGCGAGACUCAAACCGCCUGACGGUUGAGUCUCCCCCUCAGAACCCUUCUGCCGCUUCUUGUGUCGAGCCAACUCCUCAGAGACAAUGGGCUCCCAGAGCCUAGGGACCGAAGGCUUAGUGGCAACAGUAGUAAGAGGGGGUCAUGCUACAAAGGGAGCCAGCGUUAGCACAGCUAGGGCUUUAUCGAGCACUUUAUCUACCAUUACAGAGCCCUUGCAAGGUCAUUUUCUCCUUGCAGAGUUUUUCCAACUCUUCCUUAAGAUCUUUCUUACAAAAUGUGAAUGCCAUUUGCCCUACAAAAAUAAUACGUAGGCACGAGAAUGAGCAAAGAAAUGAUCGCUUGCAUGGUUUGUAAAAUCCCCGCACCCCCCAUCACAGAUCUAUGAUAGCGAAAGGAUUUCGAAUUCAGGGAGUUACCUGAACUAAGCAGUUUGAGGAGCGCAAGGGGAAAACACAAUCUCAACCAGAAGCCUCAAAGACACUAAGAGUUCAAAAAUCACAAGAAGCAAAAGAAACCCUAGCCUAAAAGAGAUCUUUAUAAGGAUCGCUGAGCAACGCUUACGACACAUCCAACGGUUAAGGGUCACCCAUUGUUGAUCCACCGCUAUAACACCACCACCUGUUGCAUAUCCAAAGGGCCAUCAGUUAUCUACCCACAUCAUCCAACUCCUUGAAUCUAGCGCUUUGAAUCUUAAGACCACACGUGUGAAGAAGGAUCACUUCACUGUAAGAACCAAGCCAACUUUAAAUAUUCUUAAGACUCGUAUUCGCCUAAGCAACGCGGGACGCCGAUUCAGUCAUUUACCCCAACUGAGCACUAUCACCAACCCAACCCUCAGACUCGACUAGAAAUAACAAAACUCGUCCAGACUUCACCUCUUCUAGCUCGAACGCUCGCUUCUCGAGCAUCUGACCUGGGGGGUUGUGGACCAUCCCAGCCCAAUCUUGGCCCAUCUCUAAUGGCCCAAUCUCAACCUAGCUCUCAUGGCCCAAUCUCGGCCUAAUCUUGGCCAUACGCCAGCCUAUAGCAGUAUCAUUACAGCCCCAUACUAGGUAUCCGUGUGCUCGCUCAAGAUCCCAUCCUCAUUUAUGGUAGAUCUCAUCCUCAUUAUAGUAGAUCCCAUCCACAUUAAUGAGGGAUUCGUCGACACCCUGUUACCACCUGGGAACCUCCACGGCGUCCGAUACUCAGUCCCAUCACCUGUAAACAUAUAAUGCAUGCAUGUAGGAUGGCAUCUCUUCCUUCUAUAUGAACUUACUCUCUUCAGAGCCAAGGUAUGUUCUUCUCUUUGAUCCACUGAUACUCUGCCACUUUUUACUCCCUUACUUAUUCGAGCGUUGGAGUGCUUGCAGGUGCCAUCCGCCCCCCCUGACGGACCGAUCACCGAGGCCCAUCCCUUGCUGUUGCAGGCUCACCUCCGACCACUCUUUUUUCAGGAAGGAACACUAGUGUAACUUCCCUAACAAACCAACCCGGUACGAAACCUUAGGUAGUAAUCCCGACAUGCACACAAGGCAAUGGGAUACCCCUAAACGUUGUUCUAGCAAUACCCUUGGGGAAUUACGACCACACUAUUAGGGCGACAUCCCAUCACAUGCACAAGUAUCAAUAUGCCAAUAAUAUCAUGCUAUGAGAAAUAUCACGACUUUCAAUGCAACAGUAUAUGUACUGAUAUGACAAAAUGCUCACAAAUUACAUAUUAGUUAGAAAUCCUCUAGAAAACAUGCAUAAUAUGGAAAAAUCUCAUUACGCAAGCCAUUACGGAUGAAACCACUCACCCUUUUCACAAAGUUCAAAACACCUCGAAAAAUGUGUACUGCCUCAAUUUUUGUGCUACACCUCAAAAGUUGCACAGACGCUCAACCUCAAGCCUCAAAGUACCUAUGCAUCAUAUUUAAUCAAAUAAAUAUCAACACCUAUUUUUUCAUAAUUUCUUCAUUUUAUUUCUCUAUUUCCUUCCUAUUUUUCUCUUUGAAAAAUUCAAAAUAAAUAUAUACUCAAACAUUUUUUCAAAUAUUUUUGCACCAAAAUUCCUAAAAUAAUUUUCUCAAAAUUUUGAAAAAAAAAAAAAUUAGAAAAUACCUAUUGGCCACGUGCCCUCAUGCUCACUAUGCGUGGACUGAGAGUGAAAGCUAGUGCGUGAGCUUCACGCGCCAGUCGUCUUCUCCUGCUCCGGUAUACUAGUGAUGUUGGAUUUUGCUCCUGGAUUGCUCUACUCCCUCAGUCCAUCGCAAUGGCCUGCUUGGAGGCUUGAAAGGAUGAUUGGAAGUGGUCCAACCAGUCGAUCAAAGUCUUGGCCAACUCGUUUGUCUAGGUUUCCAGCGAAGCUUUAGAUCUCACUCAAACCUACACCUUUGUCCACCAAAAUCUCCAGAAACACUCUACAACUCACAAGGAUCAAAAGUCCCUUAUCCCUUUCCUUCAAUUAAACCCAAAACGAAAGAAAUUUGAGCUUGAAAUUCUGAAAACCCUCAGUCUCUUCGACAUCUAUUUAUAGCCAAAAUCGAGCCUCCAAAUGUCCAUUCAAAUCUAAUCCAAGGUCAUUAAUAGCCUCACAUCCCUUAGAUCGACCCAAAACCCUCAUUUAAAGCCCUGAAAUAAUCCCCUCAAGGCCUUGAUUUUAUGGCCAAGACACGACCGAAUUUUCUACUCAAAUCGGCCACCGACAUGGCCGAUUCUCGGCCGUGGAUGACUCCCAAGGCAACUAGCCUUAGCCUUGACCCCUUUGGAGCCUCCCUCGAAGCCUUCACAGGUUGCAAUUGGUAAUGGGAGAGGUGACCGAUGGUUGGUAGUGUUCACACUGCCAGUCUUUUUUGAAAUUCCACUUUUGCCCUCAAACUUUUGAAAUUCCAUUUCUACCAUUUCCAAAUAGCCCCUUAACUUACCAUAAAUUCCAUUGAGACCCUCAAGUUUAAACUCUCCAUUUACACCCCAAAGAUUUAGAAAUUACAUCGUUUCAAUCUCCUUCAAGCAGUUUUAAGAAAUUACACUUUGGCUCGAAUAAACGAUUUGAUCGAAAAUCCUUUUGUUUCAACCCAAAACCACUUAACAGUUGUUCCUCAUGCAAAAUUUUGACUUUUUUGAGGGUUUCGUUGAUUUCUCGAAAGUCCCUUAUGACAAUUCAUUUUUUCAGCCUAAACCAAAGCUGUACCAAAAACUGCAUCUGAUCCAAUUUCUUUCAACGCUAAGAAUCAUGCCUCGAGAUCCUCGUUAGGAACAUACCUAUUUCCAUAGGUAUCUAAGCUCCCAGGCAUUCCCUCUGGUGGAUUUAGUCACUUUCUCAAGCUAUUAUGAUACUGAUAUUUUGCAUUUCUUUUCAGAUUCUUAUUUCAAAAGUAAUCCAAAGUUUUUGGGUAUUACACCCAUCACCCUACAAUGCCCGAUGCAAGCAUGCAUGUAGGAGGACCUCUCAUCCUCAUAUAUAAGCCAACUCUGCCUAGAGCCAAGGUAUGUUCUUUCUAGUCUACCAAUACUCGGCCCAUUUAUUCUCUUACUUACUUGAGCGUUAGAGUGCUUGCAAGUGCUCGCCAUUCCCGAGUCUGUUCCCUGCCGUCGCAAGCUUCCAUCCAACCACCCUCUUUUAGGUAGGUAGGAAAAUCCAUUAUUAUUCACUAUCUAGAGCAGUUGAUGUAAGAAUGAUAGGAAUGAGGGAAUGGCAUUACAGUUUCUUUGGAACACAAGACCUUGAUUUGCCAUGUGAUUGAUUAUGGACCCAAUUUGGUGAUUUUCCAAUAAGGCAUUCAACUACAACCGUAAUUGUCGCAAUUGAAACCUGAAAUCACUUCACUCCUUGUUACCUUAAUAAUUUCUACAACAAGGACAACAUAGAUUUCCAAAUUACAAGAAGUUAAUUGGUUUCAUUUCCUUUCUUUCUGGCCAAAUCUAGCAGUUAUAACUUCUCAUUUUUUGUAUUUGGAGCUAUCUCCCCCUCCUUCCCAGAUAGACCAUGAAUUUCCCCCUCAAAAUGGAAUUCAUUUCCUCAACAAUUUCAGUUGAGAAGUUGAUGAUCCUAUUGUAUUUUCAAGAAUGGAAUGCGAAAAACAUUAACAAGGCUCUUCCUUCAAUCACUGCUGGAGCACUCAUCCACUUAAUUAGUCUUUUGAAAAGAUAACAAAAGAACCCAUUUAAGAAGACAAUUGCUUAAAGGCAAUCGUCAAAAACAGAAAAAAGAGAAAAAAAAAAAAAAGAUAAUUGCUUAAGCUAGCUUUUUUAUUUGGUGAAUGAUUCAAAAUCUAGGUGCCAGUGGCAGAGCUUUGGGAGGAAUGGUCAUCAGCAAGGGUUUCAAAGGAGUAGGGAAGUAAUCCCUUCUCCUUGCAGGUGUCAAUGGCUCCUUUGAACAUGUCCUCCAAGCUGUACUUGAACUUGGAUCCCAUUCCUAUCAGCUUCUUCUGUUAGUCCAUGUUGGUCCCUUAGGGUAUGGCUACUCAAGAGGGGGGUGAAUUGAAUAAUUAAUUUUUUUCUCCUUUUUAAUAAAUAUUAUUGAUUAAUUAUUUUCUUUAAAAAUAUAUAUUUGAUAAUUAAAAUAAAUUAUGUUUGAGAUUAAUAAUUAAUACAAACCACGCGAUAUAACAAAAAUAAAUAAAACGAAGCAUAAACCAAUUUAUAGUGGUUCGGUAUUUUCACACACACCUAAUCCACUCUCCCAAGGCCUAGCCUGUAAUGCUCCGCCUCUCCAGGGCAUUAUAUUUAUGUUAGGGUUUUUUAUUUUUUUUAUUUACAUACUCGAAUCAUUCCAAAAUCCUCAACAUAAUCGUAUAAAAAUAACAUUCCCAAAAUAGAACUAGGGAACAAUAAACUUAAUCAUAAAUGGAAGUAGAAUCAAAAUCUAAUGAUCUUGAAAAUUAAUACAUAAAAGAUCACAUCACUCCGUCCAACAUAAUAUUACAAUAAUAGUUUAAAAUCAAACAUGAAACCAAUUGAAAUACUGGUCCUAGCCUUGGCAUAAGGCCCACAAAAACUUCCAUCACGCUCAUGCCUCAAUCACUCCCUUGCCUUUUCGGUCGCUCGUCUCGCCUAGAAUGUGGAAUAUUUCAGGGACAGAUGUCUGACAUUAGAAGAUGGAUCUUCUAAGAGAGUGUUAUAAUAACAUGUAUGUAUAAUGCAUGGACUCACAUAAACAGAUGCCCUAAUGUAACUUUCCUGGCAAACCAGUCUGGCACGAAACCCAAGGCAAUAGUCCCAUCUUGCACACAAGGCAAUGAAUUACUCCUAUACAUUAUUCCAAUAAUACCCUUGGGGAAUUACGACUACACUAUCAGGGCAACAUCCCAUCCCAUUCACAAAUAACAAUAUGCUAACAAUAUCAUGUUAUGUGAAAAGUCACAUUUAUCAAUGCAACAGUAUAUGUACAAAUAUGACAAUAUGUUUGCAAUUUACAUAAUACUUAGCAAUUUUCGAGAAUAACAUGCAUAGUAAAGGAAAUCUCAUCAAGUAUAAACCUUUGGGGCAAAACCACUCACCAUUCAAACCAGAUUCAAAACACCUCGAAAAGCGUGCACAGCCUCAGUUUGAGUGUAAAGCCUCAAAAGUCGCAACAACACUAAAUCUUGAGCCACAAAACACCCUAUUCAUCAUAUUUAUUCAAAUAAAUAUCAAACCCUAUUUUUCACAUUUUUUUCCAAUUUUUAUCUAUUUUUCUCCAAUUCUUUUCUCUGAUAUUCCAAAAUAAAUACGUACUUAAACAUUUUUUCAAAUAUUUUUGCACCAAAAUUCCUAAACUAAAUUCCUAAGAAUUUAAAAAAAAUUCAAAAUAUACCUGCUUGGCACACGCCCUUAUGCGCUGGCGCAUGAGAUGUAAGUGAGAACUGACGUAUGCAACCCACGCGCUGGUCGUCUUUACUGGCUCUAGCACACUGGCGAUGAUAGCUUUUUCUACAAGCUUGUUCUACUCCUUUAGUCGAUCAAGAUGGUGGGCUUGGAUGCUUGAAAAGACAGUCUGAAAUGGUACAAUCGGAGGUUUAAACUCUUGACCAAUACACUCGCCUCAUUUUUUCGGCAACACUCAAAACCUUACCAAACCUAUGAGAAAGCUCUCCAAAACCUCCAGAAACACUCCCCAACCUUAAAGGAACAAAAUCCACUUAUCCCUUGUUCUCAAUUCAACCCAAAACAAGAGAAAUUUGAGUUUUAAUUUUCGGAAAGCCUAGCCCCUUCGACCUCUAUUUAUACUCGAAACCGAGCCUCCAAACAUCCAAUCUCGUUUAAUCCAAGGCCAUAAACACUUCUUCUUACCCUAGAUCGGUCCAAAAACCUCAAUGAAAGCCCCUAAAACUCGAUUACAGAGGCCCAAAAUUUUGGCCAUAUCCGCCGUCAACACAGCUAAUUGUCGACCAAGGAACAGCUUAGGCAUAGCCCUGAGGCCCCUUAGCCUAAUCCCUCGAGUCUCCCAUUAACAAAAUUGACGUUGAGAGGUGUGGCUAGAAGCUUGGUCGACCAUGGUUGUCCAAGUUUUUGAAAAAUUCCACUUUUGCCUCUCUCAAGUUUCAAAAUUCCAUUUCAUCCCUUUUUACAAAGUCCCUGGGCUUUCCAAAAUUUCUAUUGGGACCUUCAUGUUCUAAACUUCUCAUUUGACUUCUGAAGAUUCAGAAAUAACGUCAUUUUUACCUCCCUUGGGCAAUUUUAAAAAAUUAUACUUUGGCCCAGAAUUAUGCUUUGAUUGCGAAACCCUCUUGUUUCAUCCCGAAACUAUUUAAGGGUUGUUUCUUAUGAAAAAAUUGAAACCUUUCAAGGUUUUUUUGACUUUUUGAAAGUCCCUUAUGUCAAUUUAGUUUUUCAGCCUGAACCGAAUUUGUACUGAAAAAUGUCUUUAAUCU